rnacentral:rRNA from 1 species
UACGGAGGGUGCGAGCGUUGUCCGGAAUUAUUGGGCGUAAGGAGCGUGUAGGCGGUCCGGUAAGUCGGCUGUGAAAGUCCAGGGCUCAACCCUGGAAGGCCGGUGGAAACUGUCGGGCUAGAGUCCGGAAGAGGCGAGUGGAAUUCCCGGUGUAGCGGUGAAAUGCGCAGAUAUCGGGAGGAACACCAGUAGCGAAGGCGGCACUCUGGGCCGGUACUGACGCUGAGGAGCGAAAGCGUGGGGAGCGAACAGG